rnacentral:rRNA from 1 species
AGCGAACGCUGGCGGCAGGCUUAACACAUGCAAGUCGAACGGAUCCUUCGGGAUUAGUGGCGGACGGGUGAGUAACACGUGGGAACGUGCCUUUUGGUUCGGAACAACACAGGGAAACUUGUGCUAAUACCGGAUGUGCCCUUCGGGGAAGGAUUAUCGCCAUUAGAGCGGCCCGCGUCUGAUUAGCUAGUUGGUGAGGUAAAGGACUCACCAAGGCUACGAUCAGUAGCUGGUC